rnacentral:rRNA from 1 species
GAUGAACGCUGGCGGAGUGCCUAAUACAUGCAAGUCGAGCGAACGGACGAGAAGCUUGCUUCUCUGAUGUUAGCGGCGGACGGGUGAGUAACACGUGGAUAACCUACCUAUAAGACUGGGAUAACUUCGGGAAACCGGAGCUAAUACCGGAUGAUAUUUUGAACCGCAUGGUUCAAAAGUGAAAGACGGUCUUGCUGUCACUUAUAGAUGGAUCCGCGCUGCAUUAGCUAGUUGGUAAGGUAACGGCUUACCAAGGCAACGAUGCAUAGCCGACCUGAGAGGGUGAUUCGCCACACUGGAACUUGGACACGGGUCAAGAUCCUACGGGAGGCAGCAGUAGGGAAUCUUCCGGAAUGGGCGAAAGCCUGACGGAGCAACGCCGCGUGAGUGAUGAAGGUCUUCGGAUCGUAAAACUCUGUUAUUAGGGAAGAACAUAUGUGUAAGUAACUGUGCACAUCUUGACGGUACCUAAUCAGAAAGCCACGGCUAACUACGUG